rnacentral:rRNA from 1 species
GACGAACGCUGGCGGCGUGCUUAACACAUGCAAGUCGAACGGAAAGGCCCCUUUGGGGGUACUCGAGUGGCGAACGGGUGAGUAACACGUGAGUAACCUGCCCUUGACUUCGGGAUAACUUCAGGAAACUGGGGCUAAUACCGGAUAGGAAUCCUUGCUGCAUGGUGGGGGUUGGAAAGCUUCGGCGGUUUUGGAUGGACUCGCGGCUUAUCAGCUUGUUGGUGGGGUAGUGGCUUACCAAGGCUUUGACGGGUAGCCGGCCUGAGAGGGCGACCGGCCACAUUGGGACUGAGAUACGGCCCAGACUCCUACGGGAGGCAGCAGUGGGGAAUAUUGCACAAUGGGCGGAAGCCUGAUGCAGCAACGCCGCGUGCGGGAUGACGGCCUUCGGGUUGUAAACCGCUUUCAGCAGGGGCGAAGCUUGUGGUGACGGUGCCUGCAGAAGAAGCACCGGCUAACUACGUG